UACAGAGGUCCCAAGCGUUGUUCGGAUUUACUGGGCGUAAAGGGUGCGUAGGUGGCGAGGUAAGUUCGAUGUGAAAUCUCCGAGCUCAACUCGGAAAUGGCAUUGAAUACUAUCCCGCUUGAGGGUCGGAGGGGAGACUGGAAUUCUCGGUGUAGCAGUGAAAUGCGUAGAUAUCGAGAGGAACACCAGUGGCGAAGGCGAGUCUCUGGCCUGUUCUUGACGCUGAGGCGCGAAAGCUAGGGUAGCAAACGGG
rnacentral:rRNA from 1 species